rnacentral:lncRNA from 1 species
AAGGAAUGAACUAGGGUAGUGGAGAACUUUAUCUCCAAAUAUGAGGAAUCUGAAAGAAGGAAAACUGAGAAGAAGCCAAAAAAAAAACUCUGCAACAGAAAUAUUUACUAUCAUAUUCAGAAAGCAUUGCAAGGAAAUUAAAAGGGAAUAGGGUCCUUCUAGCAACAAGUUUUACAAGGGAACAAGAAGAGGAAUAAAACCUCGAUUUAGUGUACAUGUACACAGCAAAAUUCACGCAGUGAAUAAAAGAAAGAGGUAACAGUGUAUUAUUAGUUUUACUUAAAUAUUAAUAUUAAAUAUAUGAUCAUUGACUUGAGUUAAAUUGUGAUACUAGGAUUAAUGUUGGUAUUUAAUUAAAAUGAGUAUUAUAUAUAAAUUAUUUUAUUAUGAUAAAUUUAAUUAAUUGAUGAACGUUCCAUGAACUAGGGAAGAAAGAAUUGCGGAGAGGUGUUAGAUAAGGUCAUGGGUGGCCUAACUAAGGUUAUUGCGAAUGGAACCAAGAGGAAUUAAUAGAACCCGAGUAUGUUGGUACUUCACGAAGUUACUUAGACUAGUCUUUGUGAUACAAUAGAUUGAUCGAAGAAGUCGUAUAGACUGCUCGAGUUGACACGCUUGGUAUUUAGACACGAGUACCGUGAGUAGUAACCUUACCGCAAUUUGUGUUUUCAUAACUUGCAUGAUUUACACAUGAUUUUAAUAUGAACAUAUUACUGACUGUUUUGAAUUUGCAUGCGGAACAAGUCUUUUUCUUGAUAUGAUACCGCUAUAUUUAUUUGAGAUGAUUACAGUUAAUUUGUAUGUUCUCAUGGUUACUGAAUAUGUUUUACCGUUGCUUGAGAUAAUAUUUAAUAUUAUCAAAAUGAAAAUACAUGAUUUGAUAAGAAUUGAAAUGCCAUGCACUAUUUUAAAAUGCUUUCUUAUGAAUAUUUACUGGUUACAAGGAAAAGAAUAAAUGGCAGGAGACUAUGAAUGAUUCCGUAGCUAACGACGGGUUCGUUAUACCUGGUGCACCUUGUAUAUACAGAUCACAUAUUACGAUUAUAGCCCUUGCUAGUGGGAAGGUAAAACUAGCAUAGAAUUAUAGUUUUUCCUCGAGUAGGGACCUACAGUUAUAUUCGACACUUUUUACGAAGGGAUCCAACAGAUUACAUAAUCCUUUCUUAGAAACCUCCCAAACAUAAUAUUUGAUAUGACAAUAUUCACAGAGUUUAUUAUUAAAUUGUUAAUAGGUUCCUGCUUACAUGAAAACAGACAAGAUUGAUGUUUGUUACCGAUUCGGAAAAGAGCAUUUAUUUCAUGAUAUUUUCUGAUUAUUAUACAAGCAUGUUUUCUGACUUGUCCCCACUAAAAACGGUUGUUCUUAAGUUUUAUUACUCACUAAGCUAGCGUCUCACUCCUUACUAUUUUUUUUUACAGAAACUGCAGGUGAUGUUGGUGAGGAUUUUGAUAACUAGAGCGCUCGAGGUGACAAAUUCUGGUGAGCCCCGCAUUGCUUCGCGUGGGCUAGAAGUUAUUUGUUUUCUAUCUUACUUUUCUUUCAAAAACUCGUAGAGUCACUCUGUUAGUCAUUUUUAUUAGUCUCAUGAGUAUUCUCGUAAUAUUAAAGACUUGUGACUAGUAUUAGAUGUCCUUCUCGUACUUUAGAGAUGGUUUUAGUAUUAUUAUGUUAAAAAUGGUGGCCUGGGGAUGAUUGCGUUUUGUUGGGUUGAUAUUGGUUAUAUCUAUUGUUGAUUUUGAGAAUAGAAAAUUUUUGAAUUUUCUUAAAUACAGGGAAAACUCUCCCCGAUUUUUUGUAAAUUCAUGUUAAGGCUUGCUUUGGGAACCUACCCCUUAGUGCCGGUCAUAGCCUAAAUUGGGUCGUGACAUAUGGUGACUGUGUUCUUCCCUUUUUAUUCAAAUGCAUCAAAGAAGUAUUGUAAAGACAUAUGUUUUGGAUUAAUAUGAUUUUUCCUUAUAAUAUUUCCAGA